rnacentral:rRNA from 1 species
UACGAAGGGGGCUAGCGUUGCUCGGAAUCACUGGGCGUAAAGCGCACGUAGGCGGCUUCUUAAGUCAGGGGUGAAAGCCUGGAGCUCAACUCCAGAACUGCCUUUGAUACUGAGGAGCUUGAGUCCGGGAGAGGUGAGUGGAACUGCGAGUGUAGAGGUGAAAUUCGUAGAUAUUCGCAAGAACACCAGUGGCGAAGGCGGCUCACUGGCCCGGUACUGACGCUGAGGUGCGAAAGCGUGGGAGCAAACAGG